rnacentral:rRNA from 1 species
UACUAUGCUAAGCCGUUAACCAGAUAGUAUCAGUACAAAACUAUCCGCCAGAGAACUACGAGCGAAAAGCUUAAAACUCAAAGGACUUGGCGGUACCCCAAAACAAGCUAGAGGAGCCUGUCCUAUAACCCGACAUUCCACGCUUCACCCAACCAUCUGUCGCAAUAUUCAGCCUAUAUACCGCCGUCGCCAGUCCACCUUAUGAAAGCCGCUACGUGGACAUAAAAGAUUUCCUCUAACACGUCAGGUCGAGGUGUAGCUAAUCAGAUGGAAGCGAUGGGCUACAUUUUCAUACUACGAUCACACGAACAGCAACAUGAAACACCUGCCCGAAGGCGGAUUUAGUAGUAAAAUAAGCCAGCACACUUAUUUUAAUCUUGCCCUGGGGUGCGCACACACCGCCCGUCACCCUCUUCAAAAUCGUGCCCAAAAUAUUCCUAAUCCCCCGCACACAAAAAGAAGAGACAAGUCGUA